CUAAAAAUUUACUUCGCAAAUAAUAGUAUAGAUAUUAAUCAAUUAUCUAAUCAAAUCAAUUAAAAUUUCGUUUUAAUUUUUUAAUUUAUUUAUAUAUUUUAUUCAUUAAAGGUAUAAACGAUAUUAACCACUGUAACUUUUAACGUGAGAGCUCGAUUCCAAAAAUUUACUUCGCAAAUAAUAAAAACCACAUUGCUGGUAAAACCAAAAAUGAAUUCGGUUAAACUUAAAAAUUGUGACUUAGGUAAAUAAAAGUUAUUAAUUGCUACUAAAAAGAUAAAAAUUUGAAUAAAAUUUUUACACAUUAUUUUAUUAAAUAUACUUUAAAUCUAUCAAUUUAUAAUAAAAUACACUAGUUUAUUAUUAUAUACUAGAUAAAUAUUCGAUAAAAUUGAGUUAUGGACAAGUUUAUUAUUCUUCAAGUCUGAAACAUCUUUUUGUAGAAAAGAAAUAAUAUUGGGGUGAGAGAGGCUCGAACUCACGAGCUAAGGAUCACUCGGUAGCUAUGAGACAUAAUUUUGUCUUAGAAAUGUUUGUUUCAUCAGAAGUGAAUAUUAUCAUAUCUAUAUUAUUAUUUGAGAAGUGAUUUAGCUUAUGUGUCAAUUUUUCCAUAGUUUUAGAUUUUUUUGCUUAUUUAUCAAUAUUUUCAAUAAUUUUAAUUAGUAGUUUUUACUUAUUUAUUAUGUUUAAUUGUUUUUAGUUAGUAAUUUUACUUAUCUGUUAUAUUUUUAAACUUAUCUGUUAUAUUUUAAAAUAAUUUUAGUUGUUUAUUUUAAAUUAAAAUAAACCUGCGAUAAGAUACAUGUUUGACCAAAAGCUUAGAUUCACUGAAUCAUUGAAUGAUGUUCAUUAUACCGACAAUGAAAACCAUAUAAACGUUAGGUUAAGGACAAUAUUAAUUAUAUCGGCUCUAUUAUUUUACCGACUCAAUAGCUAUAUUUAUAUCAUUCAAGUUUCUUUCGUUUACAUAUAUAAAAUCAAAAGCUACACACAAAUCUUAAAACUUCUCAGCAACAUUAAUAACUUGCAAACAAUGAUGUCUUUUUGAAAAGAAAAUCUGCUUCUUUUGUUCUUAUUGAAGACAUUGAUCCGGCUAAAGAUUGUUACAAGAUUAAAGUUAAAGUGUUAAAACUUUGGAAUACAUGGAAAAAUUAAAUUGAAUUGGUGUUGGUAUACCUUUGUAAAUAUUCUAUUUUUGUUCAUUAUUGAUUAGUAUUAAUUAUACUGUUUAGUGUUAGUGAUUUAUUUUUGUUAUUUGUUUUAGGGACGAAAAUUCAUGCUUCUAUAUUGAUGAACGUUCUCUUGAAACUUUUCUAUCUAAGUUAUCGAAAGGGGGUUCUUUUAUUCUGAGUAAUUUCACCAUUGGUGACCAUACCACAGAAUAUAAAUUGAAUCCUCUUCUUUUUAAGAUUAACUUCUAUAGAACAACCAAAACUACUUCUUGCGAUGAUUUUCCAAAAAAGUUACCAAAUAAUUACUUCAAAUAUUUUAAGGAAAUAUUGGAACACAAAUAUGAAAAAGAAGUCUUAAUCGGUUAGUUUUCUAUAUCAUAUAGUGUUUUUAUUGAUGUGUCCUUAUUUAUAUUCUCUUUUUAACCGGUUCUUUUUUUCUAAUAUUUUGUGUGUUUAGAAGUUAUUGGUGAAGUUGUGAAUGUUAGAACUUUAGAAGAUCUAAUGGCAAAAGGGAAAUCAUCGACUAAGUUAGAAUUAACAAUUCGUGACAUAAAGUAAGUUUUAUUCAGCUUUUAAUUUUAUACUCAUUUUAUAUUUUUAUUAUCUUAUACUGUUUUGUAUUUUUAAUACUUAGUGAUACGUGUUUACCAUGUACAAGAAGAAGAUAAACAGAGUAAAUAGAAUAGAACAUAAUGUUACAGAAGAAAGAUCUAAUGUUACAGAAGAAAGAUUAAUAUGACUGCAAUGAUCGAAGAAAGAUUAAUAUGACUGCAAUGAUCGAAGAAAGAUCUAAUGUUACAGAAGAAGAUAAACAGAGUAAAUAGAAUAGAACAUUCUGCAUAUGGUAUAGUUCAUAUUAAUGAAAUUAAUAAUAGUGGAAGUAAUGCUUAUUCCGUAUCAACCCAAACUUCCAUAAACUAAAUCCAAAACAUUAAUCACUAAACUCUAAAAGAAAAUAUAAACCCUAACCCUAAUAUCAAAAUAUACACACAGUACAUAAUAUGAAGCAUUAUUAAAAUAGAAUAGUAAAAAACGAAAUCGCAUAGUACAUAUUAACGUCAACCCAAACCUUUCAUAAACUAAACCCAAAACACUAAUCACUAAACCCUAAAAGGAAAUAUAAACUCUAACCAAAAUAUCAAAAUAUGCACAUAGUACAUAAUAGGAAACAUUAUCAUAUAGAAUAGUAACAAACGAAAUAGCAUAUUAUAUAUUUUUCAAAUUUUGAAAUGUUUAUGAUUGCAAAAAUGAGGUAAUGCUUAUCCCAACGUCAAUCUAAACCUUACAUAAACUAAACCCAAAACACCAAUCACCAAACCCCAAAAGAAAAUAUAAACCCUAACCAAAAUAUCAAAACAUGCAUGUACUACAUAAUAUGAAGCAUAUUAAAUAAAAUAGUAACAAACGAAAUGACAUAGUACAUAUUGUCAAAAUAGCAUAGUAUAACCAAAAACUUAGGAUUCAAAUGAGGGCGCCUCGACCGUAACGCCGUCGUGAUCUGUAGAUUUUAUGGCUAUGGUGAUGGUGGUUCAGUGAUGAAUGUGAAUAUGAAUGAGGUGAGAAUAAUUAUGAAAAAGGGAUACUGAUUAUAGAAAAAAAAAUCUUUAAAGAGACGAUAAACACAAAACACAGUGGAGAAUUAGUGAUGAUCGUAUUGCAACGGCGUUGAAGGACAAGGUGGUGGAGAUGAAAGCAGAUUGAUGGUAGUUGUUAAUCGAAGAUGAAGAAGAAGAAGAAGAGAUAUUUUUAUCUUUCAUUAACCGGUUGCUAAGGGUAUUAUAGUAUAUAUUACACAAAUAAUGGAGGUACUUUUUUUUGGCUAGAUAUUUAAUUAUCUUUUGUUUUGUAGCUAUCCAGCCCAAUUUCCCUUAGACAAAAAGGCUAAAGGAGAAAGAAUAAGAAAGAUAAGAGAAACAAGAAAUAUAAAGAAUCUAGGGAAAUCUGUUUUUUUAGAGCAAAAAAAAAGGUAACUAUGUCCCUUUACACUAAUCUGUACUACUUUAUGUCCUAUUAGACUAAUUUUUUUGAAAAUGGCAGUAAUGCCCUUAAAAUUGUAAUUUUUUAAAAAAGAUAAAUAAUGAGUUCGACAAGCGGGAUCGAUCGAUCCAGAUUUACAAGUUACAGUGGAUCGAUCGAUCCCGAUAAUUAUUCAGAACAAAAAAAACGCGAAAUAUAUACUGAUCGACCUGGUCCAUUUCACUCGAUCGGCGAAGGUCGAUUCCUUACAGAUCGACCGAUCCACUAAGGAUAGAUCGAUCGAUCCCGUGCCCAGGAAAGAAUCCCAAAUCGAUUUUUUUGGUUUUGUAUGAUUAUAUCCGGGUUGAUUCCCACUUGAUUUGAACCGACCAAGCAUGAUUUCAACUUUUUAAGCUCGAUUUCUCUGGGACAAAACCCUUAAUUUCCCAUUCACGAACAAAGGGAGAGAAAAUCAAAUUCUCACCCAAAGUUCAUUAACCCUAACUCACUCAAUUCUCUGAUUUGGACGAUUAUUUGGCCUAACUCAUACGAUUUCGUGAGCUUUUUACGAAUCUAUCACUCUUUAGUUCGUUCUGCAAAGGUAUGAAACUCUAUCUCCACUUAUUUUUAGAGUUUGAAAAUAGAAAGGUAAAAGGUAAAUUUUUUGAGUUAGUUAAGAUAUUUAGACUUCAAUCAUGUGUUAAGGUGAUGAUUAGAGAAGAUUUUGUACACAAUCAUGGUUUAAAUCAUAUUUUUGGGAUAGAUUUAGGAAUUUUAGGUUUUUGUUAUUAAUAGAUAUAUGUUGUGUUGUUUUCAAAUUUCAGGUAUGGAGUUGGAGUUGCCUAAUCGUUUAUACGGUGAGGGAUUGGAACCUCAGGUUAAGAAGAUUAAUAACAGCUGCCGACUAAAACUUCUCGAGUUGCUAAAAGAAAAAUGGAACCAGAAUUCGAUGAAGUUAUGAAAGAUCCCAUUUUUUCACAGAUUAUGGUUAUCCAGAAGAAUGAUCUGAAGUUUUCGGCGAGGUUGGUACACUCUUUCUUGUGUAAGGAGUUGAUGACAAGCAAGAGACAUGAGAAGUGGUUCACUUUCGCUAGGAGACCUCUGCGUUUUGGAUUGCAAGAGUAUCAUGCUGUCACUGGUCUGAAAGUGAAGCGAGAGAAUAACAGUGGGCUAGUGACAUGGAAAGACGAUAAUGGUUUUUGGAGCAAGCAGAUAAAGACAAAUGGAAAAAUAAAUUUGCAGAUCAUAAAAAAGAAGCAUUUGGAAGAGAGCAAUACCUGGACUUGGGUUGAUAGGGUGAGACUGAUAUAUCUUUGCGUUAUUAUGGGUGUGGUGAUGGGAAAGGAUGAGAAGGUGAAUAUCCCGCAUCUGUACAUGAAGUUGGCGAUGGAUUUGGAGAAGCUUCGGAAUUACCCAUGGGGUCUGUAUUCGUUUGAUUUCCUUCUGAAGCAAAUUGAUAAAACAAGGCAUAAAUUAGAGCAGAAAGAGGGGUAUCUGAUGGAAGGAUUCUUGUUUGGUUUCCAAAUUUGGAUAAUGGAAGCUGUUCCUGCUUUAGGAGAGAUUUGUGGCACAAAAGUCAGUAAAAAUUUUACAGGUCCACUGUGUGGUAAUUGGAGAGGAUGUGCAAAAUGUUCUUAUGAAGAUAUCAUUGGCGUUGAGAACUUAUUCCCAGAAAACGGGAUUUUGCAUUCAUUCAUGGAAUCCCACAUAGAUGGAGUGGUCCUUUUGGCAACUGAUUUUGUACAGAAGGAUGAGAAGAAAGAUGAAAGAGUAGAUCGUAUUUUAGAUAUGAUCAAUAGUAAACAUGAUUGGAACAAUCAUGUUUGGGGAGUAAAAGAAGCUACGAACUCUGAAUUUGAGGAAUCUGGCGAAGAGAAAGGAGAGGAUCAAACAGCUGAUACUGAGAGAGGUGAAAAUAGUCAUGUUGCAGGGAAUGUUGAUGGCACAGCUGAUGUUUCGGGAAGAAACAAGAGAAAGCAUGCAGACCGAGGAGCAGAGUCAAGGAAAAAGAAUGUUUUGUGCCACCUAGCUGCUUCAUCAAAAGGAAAUAUUGACACAGAUAUGAAAAAUUUCUUGGAGGAUCUGGUACAAGCUUCUUUUACUGCUUUUGGGGAGAAAUUCUGUCAGCAGUUCUCGGACAGGUUGGGUAAGAUUGAGACUGAGGUUACACAACUCAGGACAGCUUCAGAGAGAACUGAGCAAUUUGAGACCGUUGUAACCGACAGAUUGGGGAAAAUUGAGGCUGAGGUUACACAGCUCAGGACAAGUUUAGUGGUGACUGAAUUGGUGGGAAAGAGUGAUCAAGCAAGCGGUCCUAGCUUGACCAAAAUCAACAGUGGUCCUAGCACCAGCAAAAAAGGCACUGCUCCAUCAAAGAAAAAAGUAACUACUAAGAGAAAGAGUUAAAAGUUGUUGAAAGCUUGGAACUAGGCGAUGGAAUGUAGGUCUUUGAAGCUAGGUUGUUAGAACUUGGAAUGAGGCGGUAAUAUGUAUUUGAAACUUGUCGUUUAUGUAAUCACUAUAUUUAAUGUAAUAUGUAUUUGGAAGUUUGUAUGUUUAUUAUGGAUUUCGAACUUGGCGUUUAUGUCUAUUCUCUAUUUUGAACAUGAAAUUUGUAUGUGUAAUUUGUAAUUGUACGUGUUUGUCAACAGGCUGUAAAAAACCAAGAGUUAAAGACUGCUGAUUCGUGUGUCAAUUUACCUCGUGCAAAAGUUACUCAAUCAUCAGCUAGUGAUCUUCGUAUGGGUACACAAGAGUUUUUGGAAAGUUGCAUGAAGAACCUUCCAUUAGACACAUUUGUGAAAGAUUCAUUGGAACUUCAAAAAUCAUUGAAGAAGCCAGCGGUCCGAUUAGAUGACCGAGAUAUAGAGCUAGACGGCGAAAAUUUCCCUGAUCGCUGCUUGGUGUUUGUGCAUCCUACAGAUUUUAAGAAGAUGCAGGACUGGCAAGAUACACGAACGUAUGUUAUUCCUUUGUAUAUAUCAUUCGGUUGAUUUUCUUAAUAAUUGACAUCUCUACCAUUGUAUUUUGUUUACAGAGCUAUACAGAUUGGUCCUUCUAUGUUAGACGGUGAUCUAGCCGGACGUAUUAUGUCUGCCAGCAGUUGGCUUAAAAACUACGUAAGCAUUCGACUGGUUAUUUCUAUAAAAUGUUACCUAUUAUAUUACUGUAUACAUUACAGAUUUGUCUUCGUUUUUGUAGGAAAUUGAUGCUAUAAUGUAUGUUUUCCGGGAAAGAACAACAUUGAAACGAUGGAACGUAGAUCGUGUUGCUUUCAUGACAUGCGUCUUCAGCGACCUCAUUGCUAAGGAUUACCAGAAUUUCUGUAAGGGUAUUAAGAAAUACACUAUGGAUCCAUUACUACUGCAAUACGGUAAAGGUGAACUGCCUUCCCAUGGAAGAACACAGAUGUUGUGGAAUGUCGAUGUGGAUCGGAUGUACGUUCCUGUCUGGGUCAAUUGCAACCAUUGGAUUGCUUUAUGCAUCAGUUUUGUGACUAGGAAUAUCCAGGUGUUUGACUGCGGGGGUAAAAAAAAAAUCAAGGAAGUGGAAGCUUUCGCGCAGCUUAUUCCUCGGAUUGUGAAGGCCGUGCAGUCAUUGACAAUACAAAAGCAUCUCCACAUCACUCCGUACAAUGUUUCCUAUGUACCUAUGAGUGGUCUUAACCGACUUCAAUGUCAUUGUGGUGUGUACACUAUAAAACACAUCGAAUGUCACGUGCUUGGGUUGGACAUAUUUAUGGUGAAUGAUGAGAACAUCUGGGGAGCUCGGAUAAAGAUUAUGUGGGAUCUAUGGGAAGCAGCUAAUGAUCUAGAACUGAUUGAGAGAAUGUCAAAGUAUGAACCUAUUAAGGUAGUAAGCCUGCCGAGUAUGUUGAGAUUGAUGAUUUAUGAUUUAUUGUUGGUUAUGCUUUUUUAAACUUAUUUUAUAAUGAUUUUAGGAGUUUGUGUUUUAAUGGUUUUUUUCUAUAUACAGUACUUGAUCUUACAAAAUGAAAGACAACAUUAUCAAUUGAGCAACCAUAAAGUUCACUAAAGUCAAAAAUCAAUUGCGAACCCGGUAAAUCUAAGUAGAUCGAUCGAUCUACAGAUGCUGGUCGAUCCAGAAAGCUCGAUCUAUAUAGAGCAGAACAAACAAAAAACGCGCAGCAAUUUUUGAUCGACCUGUUCCAUUACGCUCGUUCGGCAAAGCUCGAUCGCCUUCAGAUCGAUCGAUCUGUCUUUCGGAUCGAUCGAUCCCGCACCCUGAGCAUUAUGCAGAACAAACAAAAAACGCGCAGCAUCUUUUGAUCGACCUGUUCCAGUACGCUCGUUCGGCAAAGCUCGAUCGCUUUCAGAUCGAUCGAUCUGUAUUUCGGAUCGAUCGAUCCCGCACCCUGAUAAGUCUAUUUUAUGGUUUUCAUCGGUUAAAUCCGGUUUAAUACCCACUUAAAUUGAACCGGAAUAACACGAUUUUACUCAUAAAAUCGUGAUUGUGAGAUCAAAACCUCACUUUUAUCUUCUUCCCCAAUUUUUCUUGAGAGAAUGGAAUCAAAACCCCCUUCAUAAAUCCUAUCUCUCUCGAUUUAACUCCGAUUUGGACGAUUCUUGAGCCUAACCCACACGAUUUCGUGAGAUAAUUCCGAAUCUACCACUCUUUCGGUCGAUCUGUGAAGGUAUGAAACUCUAUCUCCACUUUUAUAGUUCGAAAUUUAAAUAGCAAAAAGUAAAAUUUUAGUGUUAUUAAGUCGUUUUGGCUUAAAUCGUGUGUUAGGGUGAUGAUUAGUGACGAUUUUCCAUAUAGCUCUUGCCUUAAUUCGUAGUUUUAAGUUUGAUUUAAGAAUUUAGGGUUACUUAUUUUAUAAAAAAAUUCCAAAAAUUUGGAAUUAAUAGAGUGAGAUUACUGAUGCUGUAAUGUUAGUUGUUGAGUUGCAUAGGUGUUGAAUCAUUGUCCAUGUCAAUUUACUCAGUUUUACAUUUGAGAACUCAUUUGUUAAGGUUUGUGUGCAGAAAAUGGUGAAAAAAGGAAUACCGAAAAAGACCAAGGAAACAGCUGCUUCGACCUCAGCGCAGCCCGAAAGUGAUGAGCCUCGGGAAGCAGCCCCUUGGCCUCGUGACCCAUUGACUCCAUUCUCUAAACUCCCUACAAUUCAUAACCGACAAAUCUCAAGUAAGAAGGAGCUGAGAGAACUUGCAUCCUACGCACACCGCGAUUACUAUGCUGGUUGGAGUGAUUACCACUGCAUUCUCUACAAUGGUUUGCAGCGGAUGAGAUUUAAACCAACAAAGUUCAUCUGCGAUUACACUACAAAGGAGUUGGGAAUUGUGCGGGAUGUCAAAAAGAUGUGGAAAAACAUGGGACUUGGGACUCUUGGCUACAAUCCACAACCAUUAUAUCCAGACUUGGUUAUACAGUUUCUCUCUUCAGUUGAGUUGCACUACAAGUCCGAGGUAAACAAAGUUGCUAGCGAAGGUAAACUUACAUUCCUAUGUAGAGGACUGCUUUAUGAGAUGUCUAUACACGAGCUGUGUAUACUAUUCGGAUUUGAGACCCGACAUGAGGCAUGCUCUUUGCCCAAGUUCCCUUGUGCUUACUUGUUGUGGAGCCAGAUUGCAGACAGUUCUUAUGUAUCUCGGGAAGCUAAACUUGCAAUGCUCAGAAACCCGGUCUUGCGAGUGGUAGCAAAAUAUCUGGGUCAUCUUCUACUAGGAAAAUCAGAAGCAGGAUCAGUUACUGAAGAUGAAGCGCAGCUUAUUCACUACGGGCUGCCAUUAGCUCUCAGGCCGACGUAUGGUGUUGCAGAUGAACCUCCAGCAGAGCUUUCGGUAAACAUGGGAGCAUUGUUUGCUCAGAUGUUGUUUGAAAGGAAGUUUAGGGGUCUUCGUCCUCUUGACAGGAAGCCUUUGGAUGAGUCUAUUGGCAGUCUACUUACUCGGAUCUUCAUGCACCAUGAUAUUGAUCUUUCGGAUACUCCUUGUGUGGAUACGGUUGACAGAUUUGAUGCCCAGUUCUUCCUAAACACCAAGAUCCUUCAUUCUGGUAAAAUUUACCGUUUUACCAUGCCUGAUGGGACAAUCCUUCACUGCAAGCUUCCACAACCCGCUAUCACAUCUCUGACGUCUGUGGAGAACAU